rnacentral:lncRNA from 1 species
AUGAACAGUUUUUACCUCUGGCAACACGACGAGGAAGGAUGGCUUUGCAGAAGUGAUUGUGUCAAAAACCCUAAGUGGCUGGGAACCAAAGUGCAGCAUCACAGGCAGCAAUCACCAGCGAAGGAAUGCCAGCCACUUACCAAUGAGACGCCAGCUGCCUCUGUUCAUUUUGGUGAUUCUCAAUCCUCAUCUUCCAUCCUCGUGCCCUGGACACACCUCAGGUGGAGCAGUUCCUUAGGUGCUCCACAGCCUGUGACAGAAGAGAAAUCGCAGAGUUCUGAGUCCUUCACUGGGAAUUUUCCUCUGGUUUGCCCUGCCUCUCCCAGCAGAAGGGACCCAGCCUAUCUACACUUGGAACUCUGCGUGAGCUUUGGGCUGCACCUGAACCAGGAGGCACACGCUAUUCACAUGUGUGUGCGUCCAGCCCAAGCCUGCGUUCAUCUGGAUGGAUCCUCUCCGCAUGGCUUUUGCCCCCAGUGGCUGCGAGAGGCUGUAAUUGGCAAGGAGCACAGAGCCAGUAGCUGGAAGCCAAGAUACCACUGGAGCUCUCUGAUCCCGUUCUUACAGCUUUCCUGGGUCAGCAACACUUUGGAUGGAUCAACCCAUUCUCUACCUUGA